GGUCGCGCCUGCCCAGUGACAUCUGAUUAAACGGCCGCGGUAUUUUAACUGUGCUAAGGUAGCGCAAUCACUUGUCUUUUAAAUGAAGACCUGUAUGAAAGGUAUGACGAGGGCUUAACUGUCUCCUUUUCUAAGUCAAUGAAAUUGAUCUCCCCGUGCAGAAGCGGGGAUAAUAACAUAAGACGAGAAGACCCUGUGGAGCUUGAGACGUCAGAGCGGACCCCGUUAAAAAUGCCUAAAAGCUAUAAACUGAAGGGCGACCACCCUAGUGUCUUCGGUUGGGGCGACCAUGGGGAAAACAAAUCCCCCACGUGGACUAAGAGCACAAACCCCUUUCCUAUAACCCCACUCUUACAAACCAGAGCAACAGCUCCAAUUAACAGAAUUUCUGACCAAAAAUGAUCCGGCAGUGCCGAUCAACGAACCAAGUUACCCCAGGGAUAACAGCGCAAUCCCCUUUUAGAGCCCC
rnacentral:rRNA from 1 species